rnacentral:lncRNA from 1 species
AUACCGCUGAAGUUGUACUGAAAAUUAAGGCGUAAAGUUCCGAGGAACAUGUAUUAAUAAAAUGGUUCCAUCACAUGAAGUUGAAUUUACUUAAACCAUGCAGUAUUUAAUAUUAUGGCCCAUUUUGGAUCCUUGGAAUUUAAUUUAUUUUAAUAGUCAUAAUUUAGAUACAUAUUAAUUAAGCUAUAUGGCUCUAUAUGGGUUAUAUUUCUAUAUUAUUGUUCACUUCCAUGAGAGAUACGUAUGCAUUACAUUUCAACCAUAGGUGAGUGAGUUGAAGAGCGUGUUAUAAGUUGCAAAGUAAAAACAUAGAAUGGUGCUCUAUUAAAUUAUUUUUCAUCUCGCACCAUAUGAAUUUGAGAAAGGUUUAUAUGUGAACACCGGAAAGUGGUGGAAUAUUAAAUUCCAAGCCAAAUAGUCUAACUUAUUAAGUAGAUUUUAAUUCCUCAAAAUGAAGAGAUCCAAACGGCCCCUGUGUAUUAUGUUAUCCUUACUGUACAUCCAGCACUGCAUGGUGUAUCAUCACACUGCAGCUCAGGCUGGCCGUCCUCUAUAUGCCUUGAAACCAAAUAGUACUUCAUAUGCCGUCGGGUGCUGAUCAGAUCAGCAGAAACAUUAGGUGUUGAGGGAGGCAGAGAAUGUUUCUGCUUCUAGCUUCAAAAAGUUUUCGUGAUUUCUCAUUCCAAAUAAAUUUUCCAUAGGGAUGGAAGGUCUCAGGAUUAUAUGGGAUAUGACAUCUAAGUAUCACACAAACGGCGGCUCCAUUGUAUAGGCCUGACUCCAAGAUUGCAACAAGUAUUUAUCGAGCUCAGAUGGAAGUCUAUGGGUUUCUUUCCCUUUGUUACCUGCAGCCCUACUACUACUGGGAGCCCCCAGGAAAUCACCGCUCAGGGCCUCAAAGAAACUCUCUCAAUAGGAGGCCCAGUACGUGGGUGAGUUUGCCCGUGCACCAAAUGGGGGUCAAGAUCCAGUGUACCGUAGACAUUCUAGAUUAGCUGUUGAUGGAUGUAAUACCCGAUUUUUUUAAGAACAAAACCAGAUAUGCACCAUAUGUGAGUCUUAGAAGUUAAAUCUCACAUAUAGCUAUAAAUAAGGGGUAAUAUCAAAAGACAACGCAUAAAUAUAUAAUGUACUUAGUAUAAAAGAGAUAACCUUAUAUAGCAAACAACGGAUAAAUAACUCCAACUUUGGGUAUUAACUCCACUCUACAAGA